rnacentral:rRNA from 1 species
CCUACGGGUGGCAGCAGUGAGGACUAUUGGUCAAUGGGCGAAAGCCUGAACCAGCCAAGUCGCGUGAGGGAAGACGGCUCUACGGUUUGUAAACUCCUUUUGUCAGGGAGCAACGAGCGCCACGCGUGGUUCGUCGAGAGUACCUGAAGAAUAAGCAUCCGCCAACUCCGUGCCAGCAGCCGAGGUAAUACGGAGGAUGCGAGCGUUAUCCGGAUUUAUUGGCGUUAAGGGGUGCGCAGGCGGAAGCGUCAAUUCACAGGGAAAUGUUCGGGCCUCAACCUGGCCGUGCCUUUGAAACUGUUCUUCUAGAGUGGGCGAGAGGUAUGCGGAAUGCGUGGUGUAGCGGUGAAAUGCAUAGAGAUCACGCAGAACACCGAUUGCGAAGGCAGCUUACCGGCGCCCAACUGACGCUGAUGCACGAAAGCGUGGGGAUCGAACAGGAUUAGAUACCCGAGUAGUC